CCUACGGGUGGCAGCAGUGGGGAAUAUUGGACAAUGGGGGGAACCCUGAUCCAGCCAUGCUGCGUGUGUGAAGAAGGCCCUCGGGUUGUAAAGCACUUUCAGUGAGGAAGAACGCCUGGUGGUUAAUACCCAUCAGGAAAGACAUCACUCACAGAAGAAGCACCGGCUAACUCCGUGCCAGCAGCCGCGGUAAUACGGAGGGUGCGAGCGUUAAUCGGAAUUACUGGGCGUAAAGCGCGCGUAGGUGGCUUGAUAAGCCGGUUGUGAAAGCCCCGGGCUCAACCUGGGAACGGCAUCCGGAACUGUCAAGCUAGAGUGCAGGAGAGGAAGGUAGAAUUCCCGGUGUAGCGGUGAAAUGCGUAGAGAUCGGGAGGAAUACCAGUGGCGAAGGCGGCCUUCUGGACUGACACUGACACUGAGGUGCGAAAGCGUGGGUAGCAAACAGGAUUAGAUACCCGAGUAGUC
rnacentral:rRNA from 1 species